rnacentral:lncRNA from 1 species
ACCAGAUCGUGCCGGCAAAUGCCCACACACAGCCCUCAGUCUAGUGACCGUGUGUCUCCCAAAAUGUCCCUCUGCGAUCACAGGUCAUGUUGGUGACUCCUAAAUACCUUCUCAGAGACUGGGACAAUCUGCAGAGACACCCUUGGAGCACAGUGCAGCAGCUUCCCAUACCCUGCAUUCAGAUUGCUAAGUUCUGGGUGACAGAGGAUUUGUAUGCGGAACUAUUGAAGGGAGAAAUGAUGUGUGCUCUGUAACUUUCUUCAAAAUGGUUCAGGAAAAAAUAUAUAUACCUGUGCAGAUGAAGCAAAUAUGGCAAAUGUUAACAUCUAUUAUAUCUCAGCCAUUGGUGUAUGGGUAUUUACUGUUAUAUACUUUCAAUUUUUCUCAAUAGUUGAAAUUCUUUCAUAAUAAAAUCUUUUAAAAACUCUUCUAAUUUAAAAAGUUAAAAAUGGUAUACUUUCAAAACUUGUAUUGCAUUCAUUAAUUUCUUCAACAAAUAUUAAUUCAAUAGAGUCAACAAAUAUUAACUCAAUUUAGUAUCUGUUACGCAGAACUGACCUGGUUCCUAGCCUCAUGGAGCUCACCAUUUGGCAUUUUCUUUAGGUCGGGCAUUUGUUUGCUAAUUAUAUCGUCUGUGCAUAUUGUCUUCAAAUUUAAAUCUUUUUUUUUUUUUUUCGAGACAGUGUCUCACUCCAUCACCAAGGCUAGAGUACAGUGGCACAAUCUCGGCUAAC